rnacentral:rRNA from 1 species
UACGUAGGGGGCUAGCGUUGUCCGGAAUGACUGGGCGUAAAGGGUUCGCAGGCGGAUAAGCAAGUUAGAAGUGAAAUCCUAUAGCUCAACUAUAGUAAGCUUUUAAAACUGCUCAUCUUGAGGUAUGGAAGGGAAAGUGGAAUUCCUAGUGUAGCGGUGAAAUGCGCAGAUAUUAGGAGGAAUACCGGUGGCGAAGGCGACUUUCUGGCCAUAAACUGACGCUGAGGUGCGAAAGCGUGGGUAGCAAACAGG